GCGGGAGUAGCCGAGCUAGGCCAAAGGCGCUAGACUCAAGAUCUAGUCCUAUAGGGGUCCGAGGGUUCGAAUCCCUCCUCCCGCA
rnacentral:tRNA from 1 species